rnacentral:rRNA from 1 species
CUUAAAUGAAUUGACGGGGAGCACCACAACAGGUGGAGCCUGCGGUUUAAUCGGACUCAACGCCGGAAAUCUCACCGGAUAGGACAGCUGGAUGAUAGCCGGGCUGAAGACUCUGCUUGACUAGCUGAGAGGAGGUGCAUGGCCGUCGUCAGUUCGUACUGUGAAGCAUCCUGUUAAGUCAGGCAACGAGCGAGACCCACGCCCACAGUUGCCAGCGUACUCUCCGGAGUGACGGGUACACUGUGGGACCGCCGCUGCUAAAGCGGAGGAAGGAAUGGGCAACGGUAGGUCAGUAUGCCCCGAAUAUCCCGGGCUACACGCGAGCUACAAUGGUUGGUACAAUGGGUAUCUACCCCGAAAGGGGACGGGAAUCUCCUAAAACCAAUCUUAGUUCGGAUUGAGGGCUGCAACUCGCCCUCAUGAAGCUGGAAUCCGUAGUAAUCGCGUUUCAACAGAACGCGGUGAGUACGUCCCUGCUCCUU